rnacentral:rRNA from 1 species
UACGUAGGGUGCGAGCGUUGUCCGGAAUUACUGGGCGUAAAGAGCUCGUAGGUGGUUUGUCGCGUUGUUCGUGAAAUCUCACGGCUUAACUGUGAGCGUGCGGGCGAUACGGGCAGACUAGAGUUCGGCAGGGGAGACUGGAAUUCCUGGUGUAGCGGUGAAAUGCGCAGAUAUCAGGAGGAACACCGGUGGCGAAGGCGGGUCUCUGGGCCGAUACUGACGCUGAGGAGCGAAAGCGUGGGGAGCGAACAGG